rnacentral:rRNA from 1 species
GGGUUGUGAGGUUAAGCGACUAAGCGUACACGGUGGAUGCCCUGGCAGUCAGAGGCGAUGAAGGACGUGCUAAUCUGCGAUAAGCGUCGGUGAGGUGAUAUGAACCGUUAUAACCGGCGAUUUCCGAAUGGGGAAACCCAGUGUGUUUCGACACACUAUCAUUAACUGAAUCCAUAGGUUAAUGAGGCGAACCGGGGGAACUGAAACAUCUAAGUACCCCGAGGAAAAGAAAUCAACCGAGAUUCCCCCAGUAGCGGCGAGCGAACGGGGAGGAGCCCAGAGCCUGAAUCAGUGUGUGUGUUAGUGGAAGCGUCUGGAAAGGCGCGCGAUACAGGGUGACAGCCCCGUACACAAAAAUGCACAUAUUGUGAGCUCGAUGAGUAGGGCGGGACACGUGGUAUCCUGUCUGAAUAUGGGGGGACCAUCCUCCAAGGCUAAAUACUCCUGACUGACCGAUAGUGAACCAGUACCGUGAGGGAAAGGCGAAAAGAACCCCGGCGAGGGGAGUGAAAAAGAACCUGAAACCGUGUACGUACAAGCAGUGGGAGCCUCUUAAUGGGGUGACUGCGUACCUUUUGUAUAAUGGGUCAGCGACUUAUAUUCUGUAGCAAGGUUAACCGAAUAGGGGAGCCGAAGGGAAACCGAGUCUUAACUGGGCGUUAAGUUGCAGGGUAUAGACCCGAAACCCGGUGAUCUAGCCAUGGGCAGGUUGAAGGUUGGGUAACACUAACUGGAGGACCGAACCGACUAAUGUUGAAAAAUUAGCGGAUGACUUGUGGCUGGGGGUGAAAGGCCAAUCAAACCGGGAGAUAGCUGGUUCUCCCCGAAAGCUAUUUAGGUAGCGCCUCGUGAAUUCAUCUCCGGGGGUAGAGCACUGUUUCGGCAAGGGGGUCAUCCCGACUUACCAACCCGAUGCAAACUGCGAAUACCGGAGAAUGUUAUCACGGGAGACACACGGCGGGUGCUAACGUCCGUCGUGAAGAGGGAAACAACCCAGACCGCCAGCUAAGGUCCCAAAGUCAUGGUUAAGUGGGAAACGAUGUGGGAAGGCCCAGACAGCCAGGAUGUUGGCUUAGAAGCAGCCAUCAUUUAAAGAAAGCGUAAUAGCUCACUGGUCGAGUCGGCCUGCGCGGAAGAUGUAACGGGGCUAAACCAUGCACCGAAGCUGCGGCAGCGACACUAUGUGUUGUUGGGUAGGGGAGCGUUCUGUAAGCCUGUGAAGGUGKMCUGUGAGGKWUGCUGGAGGUAUCAGAAGUGCGAAUGCUGACAUAAGUAACGAUAAAGCGGGUGAAAAGCCCGCUCGCCGGAAGACCAAGGGUUCCUGUCCAACGUUAAUCGGGGCAGGGUGAGUCGACCCCUAAGGCGAGGCCGAAAGGCGUAGUCGAUGGGAAACAGGUUAAUAUUCCUGUACUUGGUGUUACUGCGAAGGGGGGACGGAGAAGGCUAUGUUGGCCGGGCGACGGUUGUCCCGGUUUAAGCGUGUAGGCUGGUUUUCCAGGCAAAUCCGGAAAAUCAAGGCUGAGGCGUGAUGACGAGGCACUACGGUGCUGAAGCGACAAAUGCCCUGCUUCCAGGAAAAGCCUCUAAGCAUCAGGUAACAUCAAAUCGUACCCCAAACCGACACAGGUGGUCAGGUAGAGAAUACCAAGGCGCUUGAGAGAACUCGGGUGAAGGAACUAGGCAAAAUGGUGCCGUAACUUCGGGAGAAGGCACGCUGAUAUGUAGGUGAAGCGACUUGCUCGUGGAGCUGAAAUCAGUCGAAGAUACCAGCUGGCUGCAACUGUUUAUUAAAAACACAGCACUGUGCAAACACGAAAGUGGACGUAUACGGUGUGACGCCUGCCCGGUGCCGGAAGGUUAAUUGAUGGGGUUAGCGGUAACGCGAAGCUCUUGAUCGAAGCCCCGGUAAACGGCGGCCGUAACUAUAACGGUCCUAAGGUAGCGAAAUUCCUUGUCGGGUAAGUUCCGACCUGCACGAAUGGCGUAAUGAUGGCCAGGCUGUCUCCACCCGAGACUCAGUGAAAUUGAACUCGCUGUGAAGAUGCAGUGUACCCGCGGCAAGACGGAAAGACCCCGUGAACCUUUACUAUAGCUUGACACUGAACAUUGAGCCUUGAUGUGUAGGAUAGGUGGGAGGCUUUGAAGUGUGGACGCCAGUCUGCAUGGAGCCGACCUUGAAAUACCACCCUUUAAUGUUUGAUGUUCUAACGUGGGCCCCUUACCGGGGUUGCGGACAGUGUCUGGUGGGUAGUUUGACUGGGGCGGUCUCCUCCUAAAGAGUAACGGAGGAGCACGAAGGUUGGCUAAUCCUGGUCGGACAUCAGGAGGUUAGUGCAAUGGCAUAAGCCAGCUUGACUGCGAGCGUGACGGCGCGAGCAGGUGCGAAAGCAGGUCAUAGUGAUCCGGUGGUUCUGAAUGGAAGGGCCAUCGCUCAACGGAUAAAAGGUACUCCGGGGAUAACAGGCUGAUACCGCCCAAGAGUUCAUAUCGACGGCGGUGUUUGGCACCUCGAUGUCGGCUCAUCACAUCCUGGGGCUGAAGUAGGUCCCAAGGGUAUGGCUGUUCGCCAUUUAAAGUGGUACGCGAGCUGGGUUUAGAACGUCGUGAGACAGUUCGGUCCCUAUCUGCCGUGGGCGCUGGAGAACUGAGGGGGGCUGCUCCUAGUACGAGAGGACCGGAGUGGACGCAUCACUGGUGUUCGGGUUGUCAUGCCAAUGGCACUGCCCGGUAGCUAAAUGCGGAAGAGAUAAGUGCUGAAAGCAUCUAAGCACGAAACUUGCCCCGAGAUGAGUUCUCCCUGACUCCUUGAGAGUCCUGAAGGAACGUUGAAGACGACGACGUUGAUAGGCCGGGUGUGUAAGCGCAGCGAUGCGUUGAGCUAACCGGUACUAAUGAACCGUGAGGCUUAACCUUACAACGCCGAAG